GACAGAGGUGGCGAGCGUUGCUCGGAUUUACUGGGCUUAAAGGGCGCGUAGGUGGCCUUGUAAGUCAAAGGUGGAAUUCCACAGCUCAACUGUGGAACUGCCUUUGAUACUGCAAGGCUUGAGUCAGGUAGAGGAGGGCGGAAUUCCCGGUGUAGCGGUGAAAUGCGUAGAUAUCGGGAGGAAGGCCGGUGGCGAAGGCGGCCCUCUGGGCCUGUACUGACACUGAGGCACGAAAGCGUGGGGAGCAAACAGG
rnacentral:rRNA from 1 species